rnacentral:rRNA from 1 species
AACGAACGCUGGCGGCAGGCCUAACACAUGCAAGUCGAGCGAGGACUUCGGUUCUAGCGGCGGACGUGUGAGUAACGCGUGGGAAUUUGCCCUUCUCUACGGAAUAGCCCUGGGAAACUGGGAGUAAUACCGUAUACGCCCUAUUGGGGAAAGAUUUAUCGGAGAAGGAUCAGCCCGCGUUGGAUUAGGUAGUUGGUGGGGUAAUGGCCUACCAAGCCGACGAUCCAUAGCUGGUUUGAGAGGAUGAUCAGCCACACUGGGACUGAGACACGGCCCAGACUCCUACGGGAGGGAGCAGUGGGGAAUCUUAGAGAAUGGGGGCAAACCUGAUCUAGCCAUGCCGCGUGAGUGAUGAAGGCCUUAGGGUUGUAAAGCUCUUUCAGCUGGGAAGAUAAUGACGGUACCAGCAGAAGAAGCCCCGGCUAACUCCGUG